rnacentral:rRNA from 1 species
UACAGAGGGUGCAAGCGUUAAUCGGAAUUACUGGGCGUAAAGCGUGCGUAGACGGUUAUGUAAGUCGGGUGUGAAAGCCCUGGGCUUAACCUGGGAAUUGCAGUCGAUACUACUCAGCUAGAGUAUGGGAGAGGGCAGUGGAAUUCCCGGUGUAGCGGUGAAAUGCGUAGAUAUCGGGAGGAACAUCAGUGGCGAAGGCGGCUGCCUGGCCCAAUACUGACACUCAGGUGCGUCAGCGUGGGGAGCAAACAGG